UUGGUGCUCUGUAAGAAUUUUGGGAGAGUUCUUUUCUUUCUUACUACAUUGCUGUCGGGCUGUUCUGGUGAUCCGAUCGUGUAGACAUUGCCAAUCGUGACCCUGUAUUCUCUGAUCGUGGUGGGUCCAGUCUGAAUCGUGUAUGCCUCCACGGUCGACAACUAGGUCAAAGCGGUGGCACGAUAACCCAUGUCCCAUCUCCCCUGCUUCCUCUCUUCUUCCUCCGUGCGUGUGGGCGUCGUCUUCCCCGGAGAGAACCGGGGCGUAUCCCCGUCGAGCCCUCCUCCCUCGGCUACCUUCCCUCCCCUGCCACCUCCGGUGCCUCUUGGCUCUUGCCCCUAUUUCUCUCUUUCUUUUCCUCAUUGGCUGCCGCUCCUCCUGACUGCUGAGUCCCAAGUACAGACAUCGUCUGGCCAAUCUCGAUCCCCUCCCCACGUGAAGCAUCUAUCCCUCCUCCCGGACGACGGCCAGGUGAACCGUCACAUCGAGGCCGUCAAGUAUGGCCUGGACUGUGAGCCGCGGUGGAAGCGAGCAGCCGGAUGGCGGACCAUGACGGACUCCUUACGGCUUGGCGUUCUCGACGGGCCUCCUAGACGACUGCGGUAUCGCGAUCUUCGCUCUAUCUUCCGCUCGGCCAACCGAUGUGCCUCCGGAUCAAGCCGGAAAGGGCGCCGCCUGUAGGAGUGGUGCAUGGGGUUGAGGGGUUGCCGGAGGCGGUUGACUUGGAGGGAGAAAGGAGCAAUGGUUUGUGGCUUAGGUCGUGCCAAACAGGGCAGGAGGCAACGAGGGAGCCAGCCGCGUCGCCCUGCACUGUAAGAUAUUUCCCCGUGACCUCUAAGGCUCUAACUCAAUUAGAUUUUGUCAGAAGCGGCUGCAGUCCAGCAUGAGCUUGGGGUCAACAAGCAGGGUCUUGGGAGCGGUCCAGAGAGGAUUGAGAAAUGUGGAAAUAGGAGGCUAUUCAUGUAAGAGAACAAUAUACAUGGAAGGUCUAAUUGGAGGCAGUUACAAAAUUGCAACCACAAUUGCAAGAGGAAAUUAAGGUAUGUUCUUCCUUGCUAGAUAAAUGUUUGUCUUUGCAUUUAAUUAAGAAGGUGAUUCGUUAAAGUUGCUUUCUCGAAUUCAGAAGGUAAGAUGAAGAGAGGGUCAGUUUUAACACUCUUCAUAGUAUUCUGCAUAGAGGUAAUUUUGUUUCAUGUGAACUGCUGGAAUUCAACCGAUGGACUAUUAGCAAACUUCUGAAACUGGCUGGCCUCCAACAAACUUUUACUUCUACAUCCUGCAUAAUGGACUGGAUCUCAAGAAAUGGAGGUGUAUGCCUUCUUCCUGCAGGUAUUUCUUUAUCUCUGCAUAGAUUUUAUGUGCAGUAGUUUUUAUACAAAUGUUCAGAGGCGACAAAAAUAUAGAGGGCUAUCCAUCUUUAGGAGAAAAGAACAUCUUUUUGAGGCAUAGAUGGAUUGAUUCUGUAUGCAUGUAUAUUUUACCGGGAUGUUCUUAUUCAUUGCAUCUCCAUCUCUUAAUUGAUGUGUUGACUAACGACCUGCCGGCCCGUGAUACAAAGUUUGUCAUUAAUGAUUGUAAGAAUAUUGGGUAAUUUAAUAUAGUGGUUCAUGUAAAGAUCGCCUACGUGUUGAAGUCAACUCUUCAUUUUGGUGUAUCCUUUGUUUUAGACAGAAAAUAAUAAUGCCGAAAAAGAUUCAGAUUAAUGUGCAAGUAGUAGCAGGUUGAGACGAUAAAACAGGUGGAUGGAAUGGAUUUUUUGGUCGGACGAGGUGUCUCAAAUUCCUCCAUGUAGGACUGAAAUAUGUGGCUAAUAACAUAUGGGAAGGACCACCUGUAGAUUUGAGAGUGGAAGUUCAGGUGUGUCCUGACUCACAAGCGAAUUAAUUAACAAAUAGUAAUUUCUAGCAUGUGCCUCAAGCCAACGGAAAAUUUAGUUUUAUGUUUGCACUGUUUCUUCAUUAUUAGAAAAAAUAUACUUAUUUGAUUCUGCACCGCUUGCUUACAUGAAAUGAUUCCAUGGGAGCUUGACUAAUAGCUAGCUGAGCUUUUAUGAACUCUACGGAUGGACAAUCAUGAGGAGAUGGACUGGAGCCAUGAGGCCAUUCCACACACACAUCUGAAGCUGGAGUGUGUCAAGUCCUCUGCGUUGAAAAGCAGCAUGUCCCUGUGGAUGUCCCUUGUUGGACAACAAGAGGAUGUCAAAUGUGUCAACCCUGUAGCACAUAAUUCAUUUUUGGUGUCCCAUUUUACCUUAGGUGUGCAAUUUGAUCUGCUCAGUUUCCUGCAGAAAAUACCUUUGAUAUUUGGAUGAUUUAUGAGUGCCCAUCCAAGACACUGAGGUUCAAAUAGAUUUAGAUGGCCACAACGUUAAAUAGGUUCAGAAAGUGUGACACAAAUCGGAAUGCUGAAGUUCCAAAGAAAAGAUGCUUUCAGUAUGAAAGCCCCCUGGUGUCCUGAAGAUUCUGAUCAUGUUCAUUUUCGCAUCCUUGGUGUGUCACUGGUAUAUUAUAUUUUUUUAUAGACAAUAUGCACUAUCAUUUACCUGUGUUGAACAUGUAUUAGAGGUAUAAUUUCUUUCAAAGAUCAGUCAUGAAGGUAUGUUACUACUUCUGUUACAUACUUUUUACUGAAAAUAUGCAUUGCCAUUUAGCAGUGUUGAACAUGUAUUAGAGCAGAGUAGAGGUUAAUUUCACCGAAGUUUAAUGGUAGAUAUUUAUGUUUGUUAACAAAAAACUUGCAUCCCGCAUUAUAGGUGUAUUUUCUUAAUAUGAUUAAAAGAGAAGGGCAGGUACGACCAUCAAAUUAGUUUUCUUCAGAUCGACCAAAUUGGAUGGAUAUAUUAUGUGUGAAAUUUGGCUAUUUAGUGGUGGAUAGUUUAUCACCAUAGUCUGAUUCUCUUUUCAUAACUUGGCAAGCUGAAAACUAUUUUUUCUUUCAGACAAGCGUUAACUUAUGAGGUGAGCUACCUUCUAAGAAACAUAGCAUGGCCUUUCUAUCUGUCAUUUUGGGGAUGGUAGAUUUUUUUAAUGGUCAGUCUUUAAAUGUCAUAAUUUGCGCACAAAUCACUGGAGUAUCAUGCACCUCAAAUCCACACCAACCUAGAUUUCUAUCACUCUAUACUGAAUUAAUUUCGGUAUGAGCCACCCACAAGUCAAAUGGUAGGCUCUAUGUGGCUGUGAAGCCAUCCAUUCUUUCGAAGUGCCUGGUAAUUGUAGUCAACAUUAGGUGCUUUCCUACUGUGAGGCAACACAACUGAUAUUAUCAUUCUUGUUGUUGUGUCCGAAUUAAACUUUGAUAUCAUUGCAAGCUGUUCUAAUAUCCUCAUAGUUGCACAUGGCUUGCCAAUUUGUUCAGUGUGUUGGAUGAUUUAAUUUAAGACUAAUUAUCUUCAGUGACAACCGGUAGUACCUAGCCCUAUGAUGCAAAGAAUGUUGGACGAAACCUUACCUCCAUGACAAUGCAUAAAAUAGCCCUAAUUAGUGUCGGUGCCUAAAUACGGCGCAGAGCCAAGGGCCUUACAUGAUAUUAAUUGGCUUCCACAUCACCUCUUCACUGCAAUGGUGCUAACUCUAGCAAUGUUCUUGGCCACACCGGCUGUAACUUUUCCUGCAUACAGGCUUGAAGAUAUCUCCAGCUCUGUCAGAUUUCUUUUCGUGGGGAGAGAGCUCUACUGGUUGAGUAUUGGCAAUACACUCUGAAGUGGUGAUGGCAACCACCAAAGCUGUGCAGUUUCAGACAUUAUCACUAAGAGACUGCUAAGAAACACUACGUAAAUUGGCUUCCAUCUCCAUGAAUAUAUUCACAUAUCCGUUGAAAAUAACAUUAUGUACCAACUCUACAAACUACAAUGCAUGUCAAAUCAUGAAGUCGGAAUAGUUCCUAUAGAUUGCAAUGUUUUGUGUG